UGCCAUUGGGAUGAUCAGUCAACCAAUCAACCAAACAAAGAACCAUCAAUCCAGUUAUUAGCGGCUUCAACCCAAUAUAACAAGCUUCACAUUUACAUGAUCCGCUACCAAUACCAAUGCUCAUGUUGCCAACCAAGCAAGGAAAUGGAAAAAGAAUAAUAAUGAAACCAAGGCUUGUAGGCGAAGUGUUCUAUUUCUUUACAUAAUAAAACCUGCACCAUCUAUCUGAACGUUACACACAAUCUAGUCCAUACCGCAAGAUACUGAUGGUUGUCAAGCAAUCACAAGAUCAACUUCAAAAGCCCAAACAUGAAAAACUUUUUUUGAGGCUACAAAAAGAAUUAUAAUUGGCUUUCCUCCUAAACACAAACAAAUUUUACAAACUUUGCAUGAGCAUAACAAAACUCUUCAGUCAGCCACGACCAUUGCAUUCUUCAAAUUCAAAAGCACUGUUAAUUAGCAUCCCACAUGAAGCCAAUCCUACUAAUUGCAUGUUAUUAUAAGAAAGCCUAUUCGACCAAUUACAACAAAUUACAUUCUGCAAUUGCAAAUGCCCAUAUUCUAGCUGAGUAUGGUUCCCUUCCAGAAGAGUAUCAGAACAUUAAAACCAUUUUUGACCGAUCACAACAAUUACAUUCUUCAAUUGCAAAAGCUCAUAUUCUGGCUAAGAGUUUGGUUCCCUUGGAGAAGAGUAUCAGUACAUUAAAAACCUAAUCAAUUAGAAUACCAGAGCUUGCUCAUGACACUGACAAAAUGCGGAUCCAAAAUCCAGAACCAUUUCAUGUAUGAAAUUGAUGAACCAACAAACUGAACUCAUUGAAACUGACUAUCAUGUCAGGACUCCCAAUAAUCUGACAUACUAUACAUCAUAUACUACUCUUGUGCAGAAUAAGAACCGAUAGAAGAAACUAGAACUCAUCCUGAGCAGACUAAGAAUCAAUUGAAGAAACUAGAACUCAUCCUGAGCAGACCAAGAAUCAACUAAAGAAACUAAGAAACCCAAAUUCUGCUUUCCUUUUAUAAUUAAUGUUUCAAACACA
rnacentral:lncRNA from 1 species